GGAAGCUGCCCGCAAGCUCAGGUAGUUCUUCAGGCUCUUAAGAAGUCUUGAACAUUCUUGAGAAACGCCAACAAAAAGUGCAGUCAUCUGUGAAGAAACAGGUCCGGAGGAAAAACGCCUUGGACUAGCACCGAAAGGUAGCCACCGGGUGUUGCUGACAUACUCAAGGAGAAGCCAGCUAAGCUAAAUGGUGCCUAUGGAGUACAGAACAGAAAAGAGCAUCCACAAGUCAGGUACUGUUCUUUGACACCAAGUCCCUGAAAACCAUCAUGGUGUCUCCGGCUACCGUGUAGAGAGCAGCCUGGAGAGGGGAAGACCACCACAGGAGGAGACCAGUGCGGCAGCUUGUGCUUGAGCCAGAUAUGAGCAGCCACCGGAGAUGCAGCUUGGAGCAGCCUGGGUACCACUCAGGGAUCUUCCCUCAGCUGUAGCCAGGAUCCUGACUGACUCUGCAGGAGAGGAUCGCAGGACGGUCAGUGUGAAGACAAGUUCAAGUCCAUUAAGAAAAGGAUGUUUUCAAAUGCCGUCAAGGCAGGGAUCAAAACCACAACGCAACAUAUUAGAAUGGUCAGGGUCUAUUGAGAAUGUAGACCAUGCUUGUGCAUGUGUGCAUGCAUGCAUGCAUGCAAGAAUGUGUGUGUGUGUGUGUGUGUGUGUGUGUGUGUGUGUGUGUGGCAAUGAAGAAAUUCCCUGGGAAAGUACCAGCCUGGGUUUCUGAUACAGCAGAAACACACAGUUGAAGCUUCAAGGAUGCUUAACCAUUCUGGACAUCAGGAGAUAAAACUGCCACAAUUCAGCUGCAAUUUCCUCAUCUCUCCAGGCCUAGAUUGUUUAAAUGAUUUAAUCCACACCUAGGCUUAAAGAUUACUUAUUUUUUUUAAAUUAAGUAGUAUUUUAAAAUUAAGACAUGAUUUGGUUUGCUCGCAUAUCUUACCUUUUGAGAAAUAUUUUACGUGCAAAUGCCUGUUUGCUACAUGUAUGCACAUGAACUACCUGCAUGCCUGGCCAGGAGAGUUGGCAGACCCUCUGAAAUUGGAGCCACAUGGGUGUGGCCUGCCAUGUGGAUCAGGGAAGUGAUGUGUGUCCUCUGCAAGAACAAGUGCUCUUAGCCAACGAGUCAUCUCUGCUCCCCUUAUAGCUCCUAUCCUCAUACGUUCCUCUCUGUAAUGCAGUUAUAAGGUGGCUUAUGAGGGGCACUUUUGGGUUUCAAGGAGUAGGAAUAGUGCUGAUAGCUCUGAUAGCUUAAAAGCAAGGCCGCUGGAGUGUAAGACCUUUGUUUUGGGCCUGAAACAGGUUUUAGUAGCUGUCAAUUCUUCUGUUGAAAAUGUCUCUCAUCAAAGAGACCAUUGUCUCUCUGUAGACCACCAUACAACACUGGUUUUUGUGAGAUGGGUUGAAUUUUUUUUUUCUUCAGACAGUGAGAAAUGAGGAUUCAGAGCCAGAGCGUGAGGGUCUCUUUCUUCCUUGUCCCUUUUGUUUUCUGUCUGUUUUGUCUCACUGCCAUCUCAGUUCAUGUCAACAUCCAUCUCCACAUGGAUUAUGCUCCUCUACUUCUACCACGAGCCCAUGUACCUACUACGUACACCUUAGCAUGAAUUACAGAAAUGUCGAGAAAUGUGAAUUUGGUCCUAUUAUUUCCCAUCUUGGAAUCAUUCAAUGGUUUCCUGGUGCCCUGAGGACAAAUUCCAAGUCUGUAAAUACAAAUCAAACACUCUCCAUGUUUGAGGCCUUGAUUAAUAGUCUCAUUUCAUCCUCAGAGGUUCCUCUGCCUCACCAACACUGUCUUGCCUCUCGUUCUGACAUCUGUGUGCAUUUUUGUCCCAGGCUGUCCCUUUAUUCAGAUCUCUGCUCAAACAUUACCUUCCUGGACCACUCAGUAAAAUGAACUUCAGUAGUCACUGUUACUGUCAAUCACAUCAUAUACACAUGUGAUUACUCUCCAUUGCCCGUUUCUCUAAGAAUGGAAGCAUUCGACAGGCAGGACUUCAGUUUUGUCUGCUACUUCCUCAACAGUAUUUAAAUCCACCCAAUAGUUGGGAUGAAUUUUUAAAUAAAGGCUGUGGUGGUUUGAAUGAGAAUGACCUCCAGUGGCUCAUAUGCAUGUAUGCCUAAUUCCCAGGUGUUGGACUGUUUCAGAAGGAUUAGGUGGCGUGGCCUUGUUAGAGGAGGUAUGUCACUAGGGGUAGGCUUUGUGGUUUCAAAAGCUCAUGCCAGCUUCUCUCCCCCACCCUGUGGGGAUC